rnacentral:rRNA from 1 species
CAGGAUGAACGCUGGCGGCGUGCUUAACACAUGCAAGUCGAACGGAGCCAAGGAGUGCUUGCACUCCUGAAGCUUAGUGGCGGACGGGUGAGUAACGCGUGAGUAACCUGCCCUUUACCGGGGGAUAACACUUAGAAAUAGGUGCUAAUACCGCAUAAGCGCACAGAGCCGCAUGGUUCAGUGUGAAAAACUCCGGUGGUAAAGGAUGGACUCGCGUCUGAUUAGCCAGUUGGUAGGGUAACGGCCUACCAAAGCGACGAUCAGUAGCCGGCCUGAGAGGGUGAACGGCCACAUUGGGACUGAGACACGGCCCAAACUCCUACGGGAGGCAGCAGUGGGGGAUAUUGCACAAUGGGGGAAACCCUGAUGCAGCGACGCCGCGUGAGUGAAGAAGUAUUUCGGUAUGUAAAGCUCUAUCAGCAGGGAAGAAAAUGACGGUACCUGACUAAGAAGCCCCGGCUAACUACGUGCCAGCCGCCGC